GCCCGGAUGGUCUAGUGGUAUGAUUCUCGCUUCGGGGCAUUUUUAUUAGCUCUAAACUGCGAGAGGUCCCGCGUUCGAAUCGCGGUUCGGGCC